AGAGUUUGAUCCUGGCUCAGGACGAACGCUGGCGGCGCGCCUAACACAUGCAAGUCGAACGAGCGAGAGAGAGCUUGCUUUCUCGAGCGAGUGGCGAACGGGUGAGUAACGCGUGAGGAACCUGCCUCAAAGAGGGGGACAACAGUUGGAAACGACUGCUAAUACCGCAUAAGCCCACAGGUCGGCAUCGACCAGAGGGAAAAGGAGCAAUCCGCUUUGAGAUGGCCUCGCGUCCGAUUAGCUAGUUGGUGAGGUAACGGCCCACCAAGGCAACGAUCGGUAGCCGGACUGAGAGGUUGAACGGCCACAUUGGGACUGAGACACGGCCCAGACUCCUACGGGAGGCAGCAGUGGGGAAUAUUGCACAAUGGGGGAAACCCUGAUGCAGCGACGCCGCGUGGAGGAAGAAGGUCUUCGGAUUGUAAACUCCUGUUGUUGAGGAAGAUAAUGACGGUACUCAACAAGGAAGUGACGGCUAACUACGUGCCAGCAGCCGCGGUAAAACGUAGGUCACAAGCGUUGUCCGGAAUUACUGGGUGUAAAGGGAGCGCAGGCGGGAAGACAAGUUGGAAGUGAAAUCUAUGGGCUCAACCCAUAAACUGCUUUCAAAACUGUUUUUCUUGAGUAGUGCAGAGGUAGGCGGAAUUCCCGGUGUAGCGGUGGAAUGCGUAGAUAUCGGGAGGAACACCAGUGGCGAAGGCGGCCUACUGGGCACCAACUGACGCUGAGGCUCGAAAGUGUGGGUAGCAAACAGGAUUAGAUACCCUGGUAGUCCACACCGUAAACGAUGAUUACUAGGUGUUGGAGGAUUGACCCCUUCAGUGCCGCAGUUAACACAAUAAGUAAUCCACCUGGGGAGUACGACCGCAAGGUUGAAACUCAAAGGAAUUGACGGGGGCCCGCACAAGCAGUGGAGUAUGUGGUUUAAUUCGACGCAACGCGAAGAACCUUACCAAGUCUUGACAUCCCUUGACGAUGCUGGAAACAGUAUUUCUCUUCGGAGCAAGGAGACAGGUGGUGCAUGGUUGUCGUCAGCUCGUGUCGUGAGAUGUUGGGUUAAGUCCCGCAACGAGCGCAACCCUUAUCUUUAGUAGCCAGCGGUCCGGCCGGGCACUCUAGAGAGACUGCCAGGGAUAACCUGGAGGAAGGCGGGGAUGACGUCAAAUCGUCAUGCCCCUUAUGAUUUGGGCUACACACGUGCUACAAUGGCGUAAACAAAGGGAAGCGAGAUUGUGAGAUGGAGCAAAUCCCAAAAAUAACGUCCCAGUUCGGACUGUAGUCUGCAACCCGACUACACGAAGCUGGAAUCGCUAGUAAUCGCGGAUCAGAAUGCCGCGGUGAAUACGUUCCCGGGUCUUGCACUCACCGCCCGUCAA
rnacentral:rRNA from 1 species